rnacentral:ncRNA from 1 species
UUGGCAGGCUUAUACAUGCAAGUAUCCGCUGACCGGUGAAGAUGCCCUUUUGCACAUCCGUACGGAUUCAGAAGGAGCUGGUAUCAAGCCCACCCUGGUAGCUCAAGACGCCUUGCUCAGCCACACCCCCACGGGAUACAGCAGUAAUAAAAAUUAAGCAAUAAACGAAAGUUUGACUAAGCCAUGCCAACAGAGAGUCGGUUAAUCUCGUGCCAGCCACCGCGGUCAUACGAUUGACUCAAACUAAUAAGACCCGGCGUAGAGUGUGGUUAAAACUCAGACCAGCAGUAAAGUUAAAUUUGUUCUCAGCUGUAAAAAGCUAAAGAACCAAAGACAAACAAACCACUAAAGUGACUUUAUUAAGCCAUGAACCCACGAUAGCUGGGGCACAAACUGGGAUUAGAUACCCCACUAUGCCCAGCCUUAAACUCAGAUAAUUAGUAACAAAAUUAUCCGCCAGAGAACUACGAGCUACAGCUUAAAACUCAAAGGACUUGGCGGUGCUUUAUACCCCCUAGAGGAGCCUGUUGCAUAAACGAUAAACCCCGAUAAACCCGACCAUCACUUGCUAAGUCAGUCUAUAUACCGCCAUCUUCAGCAAACCCUUAAAAGGAUAAACAGUAAGCUCAAACGUACCCGCAAAAACGUUAGGUCAAGGUGUAACCUAUGUGAUGGAGAAAAUGGGCUACAUUUUCUAGUCUAGAACAUUACACGAACUUCUACGUGAAACACCAGAACGAAGGAGGAUUUAGCAGUAAGUCCGGAAUAGAGAGCCCGACUGAACAUGGCCAUGAAGCACGCACACACCGCCCGUCACCCUCCUCAAGUACUUAAGAUCAAAAACUAUAUUUUACAAAUACGAGUAUGAGAGGAGACAAGUCGUAACAAGGUAAGCAUACUGGAAAGUGUGCUUGGAUUACU